UAAAAUUCAGUUCAAAAGAAGUCCGAGUCUGAUGUCAGAAGAUGUAACCAAAGAAAAUUAACAAAAUGACAAUAAUACAUAAAUAACAUCAGACUACUAGCAGUUAACUGACAUGCCAGCUCCGGACUUCAAUUAAACUGAUUGAAAAAUUAUGUCUUCAUCAUAUGAAUAUCAGGCACAAUCCUCCCCGUGAGGGGUUUAGUAUCAUACCAUCAUAACAUAUACGAGAAGAACAUAACCCGUGUCAUGCCAACAACUGGUUUAUUAAUAAAAAAUGUGUUUAGUUCCGAUGCAAAGACCCUAUAAGUGAAUCAAUAUUAACGC
rnacentral:lncRNA from 1 species